rnacentral:rRNA from 1 species
ACAUACUAAGAACUUUCCAGAGAUGGAUGGUGCCUUCGGGAACUUAGAUACAGGUGCUGCAUGGCUGUCGUCAGCUCGUGUCGUGAGAUGUGGGUUAAGUCCGCAACGAGCGCAACCCUUUUCCUUAUUUGCCAGCGGGUCAUGCCGGGAACUUUAAGGAUACUGCCAGUGACAAACUGGAGGAAGGCGGGGACGACGUCAAGUCAUCAUGGCCCUUACGGCCAGGGCUACGCACGUGCUACAAUGGUCGGUACAAAGGGUUGCUACCUCGCGAGAGGAUGCUAAUCUCAAAAAGCCGAUCGUAGUCCGGAUCGCAGUCUGCAACUCGACUGCGUGAAGUCGGAAUCGCUAGUAAUCGCGGAUCAGAAUGCCGCGGUGAAUACGUUCCCGGGCCUUGUACACACCGCCCGUCACACCAUGGGAGUUUGUUGCACCAGAAGUAGGUAGUCUAACCGCAAGGAGGACGCUUACCACGGUGUGGCCGAUGACUGGGGUGAAGUCGUAACAAGGUAAGCGUAGAUGA